GCUAGAGGCCCACGUCAGGUCUUCACACACUGUAACCACCGUGACGGCUCAAAGCCACAGGGGCGAGGGGUGGCAGUGGACUGUGGCCUCAGCACCCCCACAGUUCUUGCUCCUGCCUCUCAUUGGGUCUGAUGCUGUCACAGGAGAUCCUGCGUCCACUGACGGUGGUUUGAGUGGCUUCAUGUCACCAGAGCAGACACCAGCUGCUUCCCUCCACCCUCCUCUCUGGCUGUGGCUCCCUGUCUCUGUGCCGAGGAAGGAAAUACAAGAACGCAAGAUCAUCUGCCUGCCCAGACCCCACCUCCCGGAACCAGAGGGCAGGGGUCCUGCCAGAGACGCUUUGGACCCCUCACGGGGCUUUGAAGUUGCAAGAGGCCAGUGCGCCCACUCCCCAAACAAAAGGGCUGGGGCUGAGGGCUCUCAGUAUCCCCACUGCCAUGUCCACAGGGAGGGCAGCUCCUGUCGGCAGCGUGAGGUCAUUUACCCUCGGACUGGGCAGCCCCUGGUGUGGAGCAUCGUCGGCCAAGAUACCCUGCCCAAAGCCCAGCUCCAUCUGCCAGGCCCUGCUCCGCAGUGACCAUCGUCACUACUGUGGGCCUGGCUUUGCAGGUAAGCGCGGGG
rnacentral:lncRNA from 1 species